UUAUAUGAAUUUAACAUGUUAAAGACCCCGUUGGUGAGCCAGGGGCAUUUUGGUAAUUAUGACCCGAGAAGAGUAAAAUGAUGAAAUUAAUUUAAUUAUGUGCUUAAUAGAACUAUAUUAUUAUAUAGUAUGCCUGUGUUGUCUUUUCAGGUGUGUUCUGACAGGUUGGCGCGGUAUAGUCACAACCGGGUAUUUUGGGCCGAACCGGGUUCGGGCCCGAAAUGCAAAUUAGAUUGAAUUAAUUGGCAUUUUAUUUGAUAAUGAGAAAUCUGAAAUUUAAUUGGGUUUGAAUUGGUGUGUAAAUGUCAUUUUGCCCUUGCAUGCCUAAGUGAAUGUUAUUUGGCCCUAGGGGGCAAAAUGGUCUUUUUAGACCCUUAAUUUAUGUUUAAUAAAAGAAUGAUUUUAAGGAAAAGAGAAUUAUUUUUCUAGUUUUCCUUCAGCCCUAAAACCGUACCCCUCCUCUCCUCUUCACUUAUUUCUUAAAUGUUUAGAUUUUUGUAGAUUGUUCUUGAAUUGAAGGUUUUGUAAAGUUGAAUUUCUUGUGGAUAGAAGCUUGAAGUUGUGGAUUACCGGCACCUGGUCAGGAGCACCCGGGGAUUUGGAAUCUCUACUAUUGCGGGACAACAGGAAAGGGUAAGGCAUUAGCUGAUCUGCCAUGAGUUUCAGGAGCAGACGAAGAAUGUACAUGUUCACGCCACUUCAGACCAAGCGGGUUAUGGGUCUAACAGUGUUGACUUUUGUAUUCUGUUUUGCCGCUUAGGUCGGCUAGUAAGAAAGAACUUGUAAUAAGUUGUAAAUAUUUUUGGGAUCCCAACUAUUUUGAAAAGUUUAAAUAUAUUACAAGUUUUAUUUUCA